rnacentral:rRNA from 1 species
UACGGAGGUGGCAAGCGUUGCUCGGAAUCACUGGGCGUAAAGGGGGCGUAGGCGGGGAGGUAAGGCGGGUGUGAAAUCCCUCGGCCCAACCGAGGAACUGCGCCCGAGACUGCUUCUCUUGAGUCCCGGAGAGGAAGAUGGAAUUCCCGGUGUAGCGGUGAAAUGUGUAGAGAUCGGGAGGAACACCGGUGGCGAAGGCGGUCUUCUGGACGGUGACUGACGCUGAGGCGCGAAAGCGUGGGGAGCAAACGGG